AACGAACGCUGGCGGCAUGCCUAACACAUGCAAGUCGAACGAAGCCUUCGGGCUUAGUGGCGCACGGGUGCGUAACGCGUGGGAAUCUGCCCUUUGGUUCGGAAUAACAGUUGGAACGGACUGCUAAUCCGGGAUGAUGACGAAAGCCCAAAGAUUUAUCGCCAGAGGAUGAGCCCGCGUAGGAUUAGCUAGUUGGUGGGGAAAAGGGGCACCAAGGCGACGAUCCUUGCCUGGUCUGAGAGGAUGAUCAGCCACACUGGGACUGAGACACGGCCCAGACUCCUACGGGAGGCAGCAGUGGGGAAUAUUGGACAAUGGGCGAAAGCCUGAUCCAGCAAUGCCGCGUGAGUGAUGAAGGCCCUAGGGUUGUAAAGCUCUUUUACCCGGGAUGAUAAUGACAGUACCGGGAGAAUAAGCCCCGGCUAACUCCGUGCCAGCCGCCGCUGUAA
rnacentral:rRNA from 1 species